GAUGAACGCUGGCGGCGUGCCUAAUACAUGCAAGUCGAGCGAACAGACGAGGAGCUUGCUCCUCUGACGUUAGCGGCGGACGGGUGAGUAACACGUGGAUAACCUACCUAUAAGACUGGGAUAACUUCGGGAAACCGGAGCUAAUACCGGAUAAUAUAUUGAACCGCAUGGUUCAAUAGUGAAAGGCGGUUUUGCUGUCACUUAUAGAUGGAUCCGCGCCGCAUUAGCUAGUUGGUAAGGUAACGGCUUACCAAGGCAACGAUGCGUAGCCGACCUGAGAGGGUGAUCGGCCACACUGGAACUGAGACACGGUCCAGACUCCUACGGGAGGCAGCAGUAGGGAAUCUUCCGCAAUGGACGAAAGCCUGACGGAGCAACGCCGCGUGAGUGAUGAAGGUCUUCGGAUCGUAAAACUCUGUUAUUAGGGAAGAACAAAUGUGUAAGUAACUAUGCACGUCUUGACGGUACCUAAUCAGAAAGCCACGGCUAACUACGUG
rnacentral:rRNA from 1 species